UGAGAGGCAUAGCAGAACAUUCAUUAAAAAAAAUUGUCUAUAAUUGUGUCUUAUAGACACACUUUCACGCUUGUAACUCUCUCCCUGUUUUCAUUCAAUCUCGUUCCCCCAAGGGUUCUACCGCUUCCCUCUGUCCAUUUAUGUUGGUCUCCCUCAAUGUCCCUCUACCAAUCCCCCUCUUCACCCACGCCCACGCCCACACACAGCGUUCUCCAGUGCCUGGGCUUUGGGGAUGAUCGUUGAUGUGUGAGCCCGGAGCAGAGUCUGUAGAACAGUACUUUUACUUCUACCGUCAUUCAGAUCUGCUAUCCCUUUGAUUUGCUUGACAUAAAGUUGCGUGAACGUACAUUCAUCUCUUCUCACCUUCACCUUGCAAGUCAGGAUGGACCACCAGGACUGGCAGAGAGGAAGGAGUAGGACCCACCAUCACUAUGACGACGUGGAUGACCCCCAGCCGCUGUACAUCGGCGUUCCGGCCACGCAUCGGAGGAAACGUCGGCGGCAUCACUCGAGCGCCAACGAGCCCGACGGCAGCGAGCGUCAUCACGCGCACUACGACCGCCACGCGCACCACGACUACUCCCAGCGCGACUCCUACUACGACCGGGACGACCGGGACGACCACUACGACGAGGCCGAGGACCCCGCCGAGCCCCACGGACACUCUGACCUCACCGUCUCCCCGGCGGCAGAGCGGCUGCGGCAGCUCCUGGCAGAAGAGGACAGCAUCCCGACCCCCACCCUGUUCACCGAGAUGGACACCCUGCAGCAGGACGGGGACGAGCUGGAGUGGAAGGAGUCGGCAAGGUGGGUGAAGUUUGAGGAGAAGGUGGAGGAGGGAGGGGAGCGCUGGAGCAAGCCCCACGUCUCCACCCUGACCCUCCACAGCCUGUUUGAGCUGCGGACCUGCCUGCAGACCGGCAGCAUUCUGCUGGACCUGGAGGGCUUCUCCCUGCCCCAGAUAGUGGACGAGAUCGUGGAUCGGCAGAUAGCAGAUGGUCUGAUUGGUCCAGAGGUGAAGGACAAGAUCAGCUUUGUGUUACUACGGAAACACAGACACCAGACCAAGAAGGCAAUGCACCGCUCGCUGGCAGACAUCGGGAAGCCCUCCAACCCUACUCCUAACCGUAGUCCUCAAGCUAACCUGAGUCGUAGCACUAGCACCGCCUCCGGUAUUCAGCGCUCCACUGAGGACCUACGGAGUCGCCCGGCCAGCAGCCUCGGCCGUCUGCAUCCGGCCCAGAGCAGGAGCAUGAAUGAUAUUUCAGAUACACCGAGCACCGACCAGCUGAAGAACAAGUUCAUGAAGAAGAUCCCGCGUGACGCCGAGGCGUCCAACGUCCUGAUUGGCGAGGUCGACUUCCUGGAGAAACCGUUUGUCGCCUUCGUGCGAUUGGCUCAGGCCACGACCCUCGGUGGCCUCACCGAGGUCCCCGUUCCGACCAGGUUUCUGUUCAUCCUGCUGGGCCCUCGUGGCAAAACCAAAGCCUACAACGAGAUCGGCCGGGCCAUCGCCACGCUCAUGGUGGACGAUUUGUUCAGCGACGUGGCCUACAAGGCCAGGGACCGUGACGACCUGAUAGCGGGCGUGGAUGAGUUCCUGGACGAGGUUAUUGUCCUCCCUCCAGGGGAGUGGGACCCCAAGAUACGCAUAGAGCCGCCCAAGAAGGUCCCCUCCGCUGAGAUGAGGAAGUCCGUGCUGAAUAUCAACGAGCUGGGCCAGAUGAACGGCUCGGCCGGCGGGGGUGGAGGGGCGGGUGGAGAAGACGACGAGAUGCCCGCUCCUCAUGAGCUGGGCGAGGAGCUGGCCUUUACGGGGAGGUUCUGUGGAGGCCUGUGGCUGGACAUCAAGAGGAAGGCGCCGUGGUUCUGCAGCGAUAUCUACGAGGGCUUCCACGUCCAGUCCAUCUCCGCCGUGCUCUUCAUCUACCUGGGAUGCAUCACCAACGCCAUCACCUUUGGAGGGCUUCUAGGAGACGCCACUGAUAACUACCAGGGUGUGAUGGAGAGCUUCCUGGGUACCGCCCUGGCGGGGACGGUCUUCUGUGUGUUCGGGGGACAGCCCCUCAUCAUCCUGAGCUCCACAGGACCCAUCCUCAUCUUCGAGAAGCUACUCUACGAUUUUAGCAAGAGCAACGACAUCGACUACAUGGAGCUGCGCCUGUGGAUCGGGCUCCACUCCUGCCUGCAGUGCUUCAUCCUGGUGGCCACGGACGCCAGCUACAUCAUCAAGUACAUGACCCGCUUCACAGAGGAGGGCUUCUCCAGCCUCAUCUCCUUCAUCUUCAUCUCCGACGCCAUCAAGAAGAUGGUUGGAUCCUUUAAAUACUACCCAAUCAACCGAGGGUUCAAGCCCGACUUCAUCACAUCCUAUAAAUGUGAAUGCAUCGCUCCAGACCAGGAUUCUACAUUGGGCUUCAACAUUUCAGCUCCCCUUGCUGACGACAACAUGACUUUGUUGUACAACCUGACAGACAUGGAUUGGGGUUUCCUGAGUAAGAAGGAGUGUGUAAAGUACGGCGGGACGCUGGUGGGCAGUGCCUGCAAGUACGUCCCUGACCUGGCGCUCAUGUCCUUCAUCCUGUUCUUCGGCACCUACUCCAUGACCGUCAGUCUCAAGAAGUUCAAGUCAAGCCGCUACUUCCCCACCACGCUAAGGAAGCUAAUCAGUGAUUUUUCCAUCUUCAUGUCCAUCAUGACUUUCGUGGGUCUGGACAUGUUGAUGGGCUUAGACACUCCCAAACUCAUUGUCCCAACGGAAGUCAAGCCCACGCGUCCGGACCGCGGCUGGCUGAUCAUGCCCUUCGGGAAGAACCCGUGGUGGGUGUACGUGGCCAGCUUCGUGCCCGCCCUCCUCGUCACCAUCCUCAUCUUCAUGGACCAGCAGAUCAGUGCCGUCAUCGUCAACCGCAAGGAGAACAAGCUCAAGAAGGGCUGUGGCUACCACCUGGACCUGCUGUGGGUGGGGGUGCUGAUGGCCGUGUGCUCCUUCAUGGGCCUGCCCUGGUACGUGGCCGCUACCGUCAUCUCCAUCGCCCACAUCGACUCCCUGAAGAUGGAGAGUGAGUCCAGCGCCCCCGGGGAACAGCCCCAGUUCCUGGGCGUCCGUGAGCAGAGGUUGACGGGCAUUCUGGUGUUUGUUCUGACCGGAGUCUCAGUGUUCCUGGCUCCAGUCCUUCAGUACAUCCCGAUGCCCGUUCUCUACGGAGUCUUCCUCUACAUGGGAGUGGCUUCCUUGAGCGGCAUUCAGUUCUGGGAGCGCAUGAAGCUGUACCUGAUGCCCGCCAAGCACCAGCCGGACUUCUCCUUCCUGCGCCACGUGCCCCUCAGACGGGUGCACCUCUUCACCCUGGUGCAGAUCAUCUGCCUGGCCGUCCUCUGGACCCUCAAGUCCACCUUCCUGGCCAUCAUCUUCCCCGUCAUGAUCCUGGGUCUGAUGGUGGUGCGGAAGCUCAUGGACAUGAUCUUCUCCCAACACGACCUGGCCUGGCUGGACGACAUCCUGCCGGAGAAGGAGAAGAAGAAGAAGGAGGACGACGGAGACAAGAAGAAGAGCAAGAGGCGGCCGGUGGAGCCCGAGAGUGACGAAGAGUCCAAGACCUCGCAUCCUCCUCCUCCUCCUUCUCCCCCUCCUGUGACGAUUCCAAUGGAUACCAUAACCCCGCCUCCACACUCAGACAGCGCCCCCGUCACCCCUUCGACCCCAUCCCCAACCCCCCCUUAACAGGAGUGAGCCCUUACACGGCCGUGCUGACCACCACUCCGGACUCCGACCACAGCAUCACGCUACGCUUGACGAUCUGCCCCCCCUCACCCGCCCACCCCCAGGCCAACCCGGUCUACCUGACGGGGGGCGCUCCCUGGGACCCCCGACUCGUCCCACCACCACCACCACCACCGCCGCCGCCCUGCUCGGCAUCACCGCCGUCGCCAUGCCAACCAGCCCCCCCGCCCCAGCCCGCGCAGGUCAGCAUCCGGGUGGAGACAGAGCUCCAGCGGUCGCUGCUCUCCUACCGCUACCAGCGGCCGCAUAGCGGUAGCGAUAGCAGUAGCGUUGGCGGUAGCCGGAGCACGGUCUCCAGGGUCACCGUCCACCCAGCUUACGACCCCCCUCGCCCCGCUCCUCCAACCGUCCACCCACCAACAGACUCCUCUGUCGCGGCGCGGGACGACACACCCACACACCCGGGGCCGCGCAGCGCAUGCGGCGAAACGGUUCUGUGAGGCCAUCGUGUUAAAGUCACCCUGACACAGUGACGAUGUAGGCCUACACUGUACGUGCAUAAACGCGCACAAAGUAAUGUCCUUUGCUGUGGUUGUCUUAGUGUAGGUCACAUUUCUAAAAAAAUUAUAAUUAAGGUUAUAGGCUUUUUCAAUAGAAAGUGUAGUGUGUAGUAUAUGGACCAUGAAGUCCAAAAUUCAGAACCAUGCAUACAUUAUGCUACUAGAAAAAUCGAAUACUUGUGUUUUUUCCCCUAAAUCUAACACUCAAAGAAUGUGUUUUUGAACAGAAAAGAAGAAAAGAGCGAUAGUAGUGUUUUAUAAAGAUAGGCUACUGCAUAACCCAUGGUCCCCCUCGGGCCUUUAUAAAGAAACACCCAAAUGUCUACACAAUUACACACUGCAUAAGUCUGCCAGCCCCAACCGUCAUCUUUGCUAAUCUCGUUGUGUUUGAGGAUUUGUGUUGUGCUAUGUUUUUAUGUGUAAAACCGUAUGGAGAGUUUUAUGGAAAAUGUUAAAUGCAUAUGAAACAUUGAUGUAAAUGUGGCUUAAUUAAUAAACUAGUUAUGAUAGACUUUCA